ensembl:lncRNA
ACUACAGAAUGUCACAUUUUAUAAUUAGGUCUGUCGACACACACAUGUUUUACCAAAUAAAAAGGACAGCACUUUUAAAGUUAAUCCUGCUAUUUGACGUGAGCAUAAGUAUUGGAUCAGUUGAAUUUAAGGCAGAUGUAAAAGAUUAAAAGCUAAUAUUUAGUUGCAGAUCCCUUGCAUGCAAUCAGAGCAGUGAGUCUGUGACCCAUAGACAUCACCAGACUCUUGGUCUUAUGCUUUGAAAUGCUUUUCUCCAGCCUUUAAUGCAGCCAAUUCCAACUGUUGCUUGUUUUGGGGAGUUUCUGUCUUCAGUCUCCUCUUCCGCUGGUGUAAUUAAUGUUCAAUCGGUUUUAAAUCUGGAGAUUGAUUUGGGCAAUCUAAGACUUUACAUUUCUUUGCCCUGAUAAAGCCCUUGACUGAACUGGCAGGGUGUUUUGAGUCAUUGUCCCGAUCCAAUAUGAAGUGCUUUCUAAUGAGUUUGGUGGCAUUUUCUUGAAUAUUGGUAGCCAAGAUGAUUUUGUACCCUUCCAAAUUCAUUCUGCUACUGCCAUCAUACAUUAAGUCAUCAUUAAAAUUAAGAGGUGCUGUUCUAGAGACAGCCAUGCAUGCCCAUGCCAUGACUCCACCUCCACCAAGCUUUACAGAUGAGGUUGUAUGCUUAAGAUCAUUUGCAGUUCCCUCUUUUUCUCCACACUUUUGCUUUCCAAUCACAUAGAUAAAGGUUAAUCUUUGUCUCAUCAGUCCAUCAAUUCAAUUCCAAAACUCUACUGGCUCACAUUUGUGUAGAAUCUUGCCUUUCUAUUUUUGGUGCUGAUCAGAGGUUUGCAUCUGCUGUGCAGCUUCUGUAAUUCUGUGUCAAAUUCUCCUGCGGCCUGUAGAUUGACGGAGCAUCACCCCAGCUUUCUGGAAGUUGUUGGUGAUUUUACAGACAUGUAUUUUAGGGUUCAUUUUCACAGCUUUUAUGAUUUGUCUGUCAUCAACUACUGUUGUUUUUCUCAGUCGAUCAGGUCAUCGUUGGUUGCUGAUGUCGUCGGUAGUUUCCAAACUCUUGAUUUCUCCAUGCCCUUUGUUUUUCCUUUAGUUCUAAUUGACUUCCUCUUUUCUUUUAGCAUCCAAAUUGCUUGCUUUUCCUUCAGAGUGAGCUUCCUCGUCUUCAUCCUGGUUUGUGUGUGUCAUCAUCGAAUGCAAGACUUAGAAUUCAGAAGCAAUGGAUAUAACUGACAAGACUCUUUUUCACUGGUGAAAGCAAUACGGAUAGAGGACUCAUAUUUUUGAUGGAAUCAGCAGUAUAAGUUUGUUUCUUACACAGAUUUGCACUUCACAAGACAUUAAUUGAUGGACUGGAGUCGUGUGGAUGACUGUGAUGUUUUUAUCAGCUGUUUGGACUCUCAUUCUGACGGCACCCAUUCACUGCAGAGGAUUCAAUUGUGAGCAAGUGAUGAAAUGCUGAAUUCUCUUUAAAUGAAUUUCACUCACUUUCAUUUUACUUAAUCUAAAAUGAAACACUCUCUCUAUGCAUUUGCAUUUCAUCCUGUACUAUGGUAUUUUUGGCUUGUCUUUCUAGCAAGAAAAGGUAUAAAAAAUACCUGUAGUGUUUUACUCAUAAAGACUCAACACAAAGACUAAUAAAAUGUAUCAAGCACAGAUUGCUUGCUUAUGG